UGUGUGUGUGUGUGUGUGUGUGUGUGUGAGAGAGAGAGAUUUAGGGAGAGAAGGAUGACUCACUCCAGAGUGGGAGUCAGAGAGUGAGAGACCUACCAGUGCAGGCUGUGGAGAGCUGUUCUCCUGUGAGGUGCUGUUCCUCUUGGCCCAUACCAGCUCGUGUUCCAGCACAAACACCUCCCACUCCUCCCUGAGCCUCCUCCAUUUACACUCUGCUGCCGGCUCGCCGUCCCACUCCACACACACCUAACAUACACACACAGACAGGAAGGUUGAGAUGUCACAGGUAUCACUAACAUACACACACACACACACACACACACACACACACACACACACACAAGAAAAUCACAAGCAGGGGAAAAAUCAAUAUCGCACAAGCCUAAUUGCCACACUAAUCAUAUGCUGUAUUCAUGUUGCCUUUUAAGUGAUAAUCUGCAAGUUUUAAUGACAUCAUUACCCACCUCGGCACGUACGACGUGCGGAGUGGGAAAACAAAACAAAACAUGAAUGCCUCCACGAACGUGUGUAUUUUAUUUGAACUGUCAGAGAACGUAAAGCUCAUAAAAAGCUACUUUAACCGUACUUUUACAGUUCUGAAUGGCUACUGGUAUUACUAUAGUGAAUUUCAAACCUUCAUGCAACAUUUGGACUUAAACUGCAGCACAGCAACUACAGCAGACAAUUGCAAGUAUCUUUGCAGCAAGCUAACUGGCUAACAUUAAUGAUGACUCUAAUGUUGAUGACUGCCUUCUUAAAAGAGCGAUAUUUAUUAGAGAUUUAACAAAGUUCUGUUAGAAACUCACUUAACUCAUGUUGGUUUGAUGUCACUCCAUAAACGGGGAAGGAACUAGUAUAUAAUACAUAGUAAUAUAUACAGUAUAUAGUAGAGAUGUACCGACGUAUCGGCAAAUAAUCGGUAUCGGCCGAUGAAAGCAAUUUUUCACGUUAUUGGCUGAUAGUUUAAAAACAUCCAAUGAUCAGGGCCAAUUAUAUCCUGUCAAUCAAAAGAGGGCGGGAAAACACAUCGAUUUUGUGCUGUGUGUAAAGAUGAUGUCUCUUGUCUGGAAUGAUGACAAAACUGCAGUUUGUAAUCUCUGUAAGCUCUGUACUGCUAAAAUUUUACACUGGACGCUGCAGUAGCGAAGCGGGAGUUUCAGCGUGGAGUCAAUUUUUUUUUUUUGCCGCGCUAUAUUAAAGCACAAGUACACGGUUGAAAGAUUUACAUGAAGAGGAGUUGAGAAAAAAGCUAUAUAUUGCACAGAAAAAUAUAUUUGUAGAGUAGUAUAUUUCAUGUCCAGUUAAUGUUAAUAUAUAAAAAAGUUGAUAUUAUAUAUUACCAGUUUGAUGUUCAGUGCUGAAGUAGAAAUGCUUUUGUUUGUGGUGAGUGAAUGUGAGACUAACAGGAGGUUUUUUUUAGAAUUCAGUCAAUGUUAAUAUGAAUUAAUAACAUUCAAUAAGUUAAGAAAUCUUACUUUAAUCUUCAGAAUUUAGUUCAUGUGUUCAUGUUAAUUAGAGUAAUGUGUUUUCUGUUUAUGAGACCAGUUACUGUGAAACAACUUGUGAAAUGGAAAGAAUAAAGUUUUUAUUUGCA